ACAAGCAGCAUCACAUCCGUGCCGGGCUGUGCUGCACUGCAGCGCGGGGUGAGGAGCGCGGGAUGCAGGGAGCAGAGAUCUGCUGGGCAGGAAGGAUGAGAAGCCAACAAAAUCAGGCUGUGCUGAUGGCAAGGAACCAAACGUCCCCCUGCGCCCUGACCUUCAUUGUGUGGGGAAGGAGGGAGAGCUGCCACUGAGAAAACGUGAUAAGGAUGGCCAGCAGGAUGGGCAGCCGGCGACGCGGUUUUGUGCUGCGUGUGCAUGCAGUCGGCUGGGGAUCGCGUGCGGCGAGCUUGGCUGCGCUCAGCAGAGCGAUCAGACUUAACUAUUUAUGGAGUCACUUUGGAAAACGUAGCACAUCAAUAGGAGAGAGCGGAGGCUGCUUUGGAGUGCCUGGAUUUUUGGUGCUUGGCUUGCAGAUGCAUCCUGACCUCCUGGAGGUCUCUGGGGCUCUAAAAGGGCACCUGAAGCUGCUGAGAGUGGAAAUGGCUGCCAGGUGCUUGGCUAAUGCAAUGGAGAGCAUAGGUGGGUCCUGCCUUCCACGUUCAUGGAAUUGGGAAUGGGCCACAGCUGGUCCCAGCCAUUUUUGUGACAUCCCAACACCCAGGCAUGGGCACCUCUCCUUUGUGUCCAGGCUAAUGGAAACCACAGCUGCCCUGCGUGCACAGAGCAGGGAACACAGUUUCAGCAGAAAAAACAACGUGCAGGAGUUAAAAACAGUCCCUGCUGCCACUUCUUCCCUCAUCACAGGACACUGAGAGCAAAAACCCAGCUGCUCGGGUGAAGGAGCAUUCCCAAAGCUUCGCCAGCAAGUGAAGACAUCUGAAAUGGAGACAGAGACCAAAGCGAUGAGGAGUACAUCAAAGACAAGAGCUCCAUCUCCACCUCUCACCCUGCUCAACCCCAUGGACACGUGGCUGUGUGCAGCACGAGGGGUGAAGGAGCUGCCCACUGUGCACCUGGUGCAGGUGCUGGGCUGAGAGCAGAGGGGAGCUGCCCCGACACGGGGUGAUUCAGAUCCGAAUCACGCAGCGCCCACUGCACUCCACCAGAGCUCUCGACUUGCUGCUUCGCCCGCGCUUGCACACUGUGCUGGGGCUGACAGGGAGCCGGCACGGAGCCACGGGUGAUCCCUCACUGUGAUCCGGAGUGUGGGAAAAACGCAAUCGCUGCAAACAAUCAGAGGCAAAGCCAGCAGCAGCACGCAGAGAGGAAUUCGGAGGCGCAUUCCAGCAGGGAUGACAGAGAAGGGGCUGGGAGCUCAAAAAAGAAACGUGCUGUGA